rnacentral:rRNA from 1 species
GAUGAACGCUGGCGGCGUGCCUAACACAUGCAAGUCGAACGGAGAUUUAACGCUGAUGAGGCUUCGGCGGAAUCUUGUUAAAUCUUAGUGGCGGACGGGUGAGUAACGCGUGGGCAACCUGCCUCAUACUGGGGGAUAACAGUUGGAAACGACUGUUAAUACCGCAUAAGCGCACAGAGUCGCAUGACUCAGUGUGAAAAACUCCGGUGGUAUGAGAUGGGCCCGCGUCAGAUUAGCCAGUUGGCGGGGUAACGGCCCACCAAAGCGACGAUCUGUAGCCGGACUGAGAGGUCGGACGGCCACAUUGGGACUGAGACACGGCCCAAACUCCUACGGGAGGCAGCAGUGGGGGAUAUUGCACAAUGGAGGAAACUCUGAUGCAGCGACGCCGCGUGAGUGAAGAAGUAUUUCGGUAUGUAAAGCUCUAUCAGCAGGGAAGAAAGGCUCGUAAGAGAGAUGACGGUACCUGACUAAGAAGCCCCGGCUAACUACGUGCCAGCAGCCGCGGUAAUACGUAGGGGGCAAGCGUUAUCCGGAUUUACUGGGUGUAAAGGGAGCGCAGACGGUCAAGCAAGUCUGAAGUGAAACCCCACGGCUCAACCGUGGGCUUGCUUUGGAAACUGUUUGACUAGAGUACUGGAGAGGUAAGCGGAAUUCCUAGUGUAGCGGUGAAAUGCGUAGAUAUUAGGAGGAACAUCGGUGGCGAAGGCGGCUUACUGGACAGCAACUGACGUUGAGGCUCGAAGGCGUGGGGAGCAAACA